AUUGCUUUUCCCUCCACCUCCUGUUACUGUCCCAGUGCAGGUGGCAGGGACCUGUGGCCUGUUUCGGGGUUCCCAGUCCAGGGGAGCAGGGCAUCACCUGGAGGGUCCUUUCACAGGGAGUGGAGGAGCUAUGUGGUCACACGGUGGAGCACAGUGGCACAGGGAGAGAUGCCCCCCCGCCUUGUGGUUCUCAGAUGCUAGGGUAGGGCCGGUGAUCUGACCCUCCACCAGCCUUAGGCCGCAAGUGAGAAACCCAGGGGCUGGGAGUCAAGAUGUGGUGAGGGGCUGUGGACUAAAGAGUCAGGUCAGCUGGGAGGUCGGGGGGGACCCCAUGCCAAGGACCCCACCCCUAAGUAGCUCCCAGAGCCUGUGGAAGGUGCUGUGCUCACCGUGAUGGUUUAUCUGGGGGAGGAUAGGGGUUAGCGUGAGCUGAAGGGCGAGGUAGGAGGCAGAGUCCAGGAAGGGUGCCAGGCAUGGAGUUGGGACAGUGUUGCUUUCCUGGGGUUGGCACAUGACCCCACCUGUGGAGCAUGGCCCACCAGGAAAGCCCUGGGGCCUUGGGGUGCAGAGCCCUGAUGGGGUCCAUGGCGUCCACACUGCAGACUCUGCACUGACCUUAGGAGAUCUAGCAGAGGACCAAAGAAAGCCCCACCCCACCUCACAUGGGCAGAGCACCUGGAGUGGCUUCUGGCUCUUGGGACCCCAGGGCUCCAGUUCAGAGGUCACCUCCCAGCAGCAAUUCCUUGAUGGACCCUGUGCUCCUCUGUGACACUGUGCUUCAGCCCCACUCUGAUGUGCCACAGAUGCCAGCAUGGUUUUGGGGGGUGGUGUGCCCAGGACUGGGACUGACCCUUGUUGAGAGGUUGGAUGGGACCAGGGUCCCUGUUACGGGUGGGGCCAGAUGGGGCCAAGUACCACUGGGUGCCAGCGUGGGAGGCUGGGCUGUGGAGCUGGUUCUGCUGAUAUGUGCACACAUGGUGCCCUGACCAGAUGUGCUUGCCCGAGGCUGGUGGAGAUGUCCCUGGAGAGGCCAAUCUGGGGAUGCCAUGGUGGAUGGAAGCACAGCUCCUCACAGGCGGCAGGUCAAGGGACUGGGAUUGCUGGGGCCCAGCUCUGCAGACCUGUGUGCUCACCCCACCCCCAAUGCAUCCAUGGUGGGUGUGCAAGCCAUGGUGGGGCAGGGUCACAUCACUUUCAUGCCUUGGACAGGCAGGCUGGAGCCACCCAGCUCUUGGAGAGGUUCCCUCAGGCUUCCAAAGAAUGCCCCUGAGCCGCCCCCCACCCCCACCCCCACCCCCGGCCCCUGCACUGCUGCUGGGUUCUGUAGCACCAGCUGCCAGAUGUCCUGGGAUUUAAGUCAUAACGAUUGGUGGCCCAGUGACCCCACCAGCAUGUGUUGCAUUCCCAAGAUGUCCUCUCCAGGCCACAGGGCAAUGCACGCGUGGGUGUUCUAUGCACCGUCCUGGUGGGGGGCAGGUGGGGGCAGGGCAGACACCAGUGCCCCUCACUGGGGAUGGAGGCCAUGGAGUAGUCCACAGCCCUGGUGACACAGAGGAGUGGCUUAGGGCACUGUGGUGAGUCACGAAAAUAAAGUGACGUAUAAGACCAA
rnacentral:lncRNA from 1 species